AUUGAACGCUGGCGGCAGGCCUAACACAUGCAAGUCGAACGGUAACAGGAAGCAGCUUGCUGCUUCGCUGACGAGUGGCGGACGGGUGAGUAAUGUCUGGGAAGCUGCCUGAUGGAGGGGGAUAACUACUGGAAACGGUAGCUAAUACCGCAUAAUGUCGCAAGACCAAAGAGGGGGACCUUCGGGCCUCUUGCCAUCGGAUGUGCCCAGAUGGGACUAGCUUGUUGGUGGGGUAACGGCUCACCAAGGCGACGAUCCCUAGCUGGUCUGAGAGGAUGACCAGCCACACUGGAACUGAGACACGGUCCAGACUCCUACGGGAGGCAGCAGUGGGGAAUAUUGCACAAUGGGCGCAAGCCUGAUGCAGCCAUGCCGCGUGUAUGAAGAAGGCCUUCGGGUUGUAAAGUACUUUCAGCGGGGAGGAAGGGAGUAAAGUUAAUACCUUUGCUUAUUGACGUUACCCGCAGAAGAAGCACCGGCUAACUCCGUG
rnacentral:rRNA from 1 species